rfam:Geobacillus sp. Y4.1MC1, complete genome.
UGGCAAAAGCAGAAGCACCCCGCUUCUCACCUGGUUGACGCCCGCGUGGCUGUUGACAGGUCGUUACGGUUCGUACAUCGUAUUCAGACGUAAGCAGUGUGGGUGUCGUAUGCAUCCACACUUUUUUAUUAGA